rnacentral:lncRNA from 1 species
GGAAGGAGCACACUGUGGGCUCCGCCAUGGUCGCUGGCGCGGGCCCUGUGCGCGCGGCGCAGCGAGCCGGGGCGGGCAGGCUCCUCCCAGUCACGUCCACGAUUUCCAGCGAACAUCCCGGGGAUGGGCCUGGGCCUGGCGAGGGGUGGGCCUGCGGGAGGCCGGGCGAGGGGCGGCCCCGGCGCGUGGAAGCAGGGUACGGCGCCUGCGGAUCCCCUGGACGCGGACUCAGGCGGGGACAGCGUUGAUGGGGCGUCUGCUCCGCCCAGGCACCGUUCAGGGCGAGGCCUGGCCUUGAGGGGCUUGUAUAGUGGGAGUCACAAAGGACUCGCCAACAAGGCAACUGGUAGUGCUAGGGAGGCCUGCGGAGAAGGCGAAAUAGGUAAAAGGUGGUAGGAGGUGAGUGGCCGGGCUGCUUCGGGGGAGGUGGCCACUAGCCACAUGUGGCUGCUGAGCACUUCUGGGAUUUUUUGUUGUUGUUGUAUUUUUAUUUUUGGAGACAAGGCCUCACUUGGUGGCGGGCGCCUGUAGUCCCAGCUACUCGGGAGGCUGAGGCAGGAGAAUGGAGUGAACCCAGGAGGCGGAGCUUGCAGUGAUUCUGACGCUGUAUUCAUCGGUUCUAACUAAUCACGCAGGCUUUGUCUUCAGUAUAUUCAAUCACAUAUUGUGGGUAUUAGAGAUGGGGGUUUCACCAUGUUGGUCAGGCUGGUCUCGAACUCCUGACCUCAGGUGAUUCACGCACCUGCAGGUUUGUUACAUAUGUAUACAUGUGCCAUGUUGGUGUGCUGCACCCAUUAACUCGUCACGUAGCAUUAGGUA